rnacentral:rRNA from 1 species
ACGCUCGACACCUACGGGAGACAGCAGUGAGGAAUAUUGGUCAAUGGGCGCUAGCCUGAACCAGCCAAGUAGCGUGAAGGAUGAAGGCUCUAUGGGUCGUAAACUUCUUUUAUAUAAGAAUAAAGUGCAGUAUGUAUACUGUUUUGUAUGUAUUAUAUGAAUAAGGAUCGGCUAACUCCGUGCCGGCAGCCGCGGUAAUCUGAGCGGGCUGGCAAGGC